CGCACCGAAAGGGGCUCGGGACAUGCGGAGCGUGGGCUGUGAUGCUCUUUGAGCGGGGAGGCCGCUGCGGGAACGGAGUCUGGGGUGCCGCCAAGGGCGAUUGUUUUGUUUGCUGUUUGUGUUGGUGGAGAAUUGCCGUGGGGACGGCGAUCUCACGGGUGAAGCUGCCAGGUGCUUUUGAAAAUUGCCUCUGGAAUGGAGAUCCCAGGAACUUGACCAUCCCGCCGAUCGGGAGACUCGGUCCGAGCUCAGCUACUUUACCUCGGCUUCUAAAGUGCCUGAGUCACAAAGCUGUAACCGUGCAUUUCCCUUUCCCCAGAAUCAGAUAUCCUUCCGUGACGGAUAAUCUCGAUUUGGGGCUUUCCCCCCCCCCUUGUCUGUCUCUAGCUUAUGUAAAUGUGGGCGAAAGGGGCUCGAAUCGGAGAUAUUGGUAUUCUUGGGAGUUGUCCUUUUCCGAAACCAGUUCUCUAGCAGCUGCUCUGGCGAGGCCUGAGUCUGGGUUUUCUGAAUUGAAUAUAAGGGUGUGGGAGGGAAAGGCGCAUAACCCAUCUGUGAAUGGAAUGCGCCUCUUGGAACGGGCCUCGUGGCAGCGCAGAAGGAAGCAGAGAGGGAGCAGCGCAUCGCACAAGAGAACGGACUGCAGACAAAGGCGCUGGAUGGGACCGAGAGCCUUUCUCCUCCAGGAACUCAGGAGAAACAGAUGGAAGGAGUUCCGGCCCGAGAACCUGAGCAGAGGGACUGAUUGAUUGAUUGUGGUGCCAACUCGCCCUCUCUCAUCCUUGACGGCCACGUUCCCGCUGGGGCACGGACUACCGUGGGCAAGGAGCAACGAAGUAUCGAUCACGUUGGGAUGAAUCAUCUGCAGAGAGAAAGGAACGGUGACCAUCUUCCUGGAGCAGCAGACGAUGACCGGGGAACCAAUUAAGGUGGGCCUGGCCUUAAAAAACCAGAUCCUUGAGAGGCUACGCACCUGG